rnacentral:lncRNA from 1 species
GUAAUUCUCCUGUUAACUAGCAAGUCAAGGAAUCCGUAAGCCCAUCUUACAUGUCUUUGGGUGGUGAGGAAAAUCUCGAUGAUGUCCAUCACCGACAGAGUAAGAGACUAAUACUGUUAAUUGAAUUCCCCUAAAGAGAACAAAACUAUACCAUCGUGUGGGGGGAAGGGUAGAAGAAGCAAAUCCAUACAAGUCUCCAAUAUGUUUGAAUUGGUUGCAUUGAUUUUCCUCAGCUAAUGGCCUAGGAUAGAUGCUGAAUUGUCCUCAGAAAAUAUAAAGUUGAUUAGAGCAGCUUAUUUCCACUUAAGACUUUUUAAAUUGCAGCUACAAAUAUUUCAAAGGUAUAUGUGUAUAUUUAGAUAUAUAUUUUUUAAUAAAACAUUUUAUUUUUCUAUUAA